rnacentral:rRNA from 1 species
AACGAACGCUGGCGGCACGCUUAACACAUGCAAGUCGAACGAAGCGCGCCAUUUCGGUGGCGGGCUUAGUGGCGGACGGGUGAGUAACGCGUGGGAACGUACCCCUGGGUGCGGAACAACAGUUGGAAACGACUGCUAAUACCGCAUGAUGUCCGCAAGGACCAAAGAUUUAUCGCCCAGGGAUCGGCCCGCGUUGGAUUAGGUAGUUGGUGGGGUAAUGGCCUACCAAGCCUACGAUCCAUAGCUGGUUUGAGAGGAUGAUCAGCCACACUGGGACUGAGACACGGCCCAGACUCCUACGGGAGGCAGCAGUGGGGAAUCUUAGACAAUGGGGGCAACCCUGAUCUAGCGAUGCCGCGUGGACGAUGAAGGCCUUAGGGUUGUAAAGUCCUUUCAGCUGGGAAGAUAAUGACGGUACCAGCAGAAGAAGCCCCGGCUAACUCCGUGCCAGCAGCCGCGGUAAUACGGAGGAGGCUAGCGUUGUUCGGAAUUACUGG